rnacentral:rRNA from 1 species
GAUGAACGCUGGCGGCGUGCCUAAUACAUGCAAGUCGAGCGAACGGACGAGAAGCUUGCUUCUCUGAUGUUAGCGGCGGACGGGUGAGUAACACGUGGAUAACCUACCUAUAAGACUGGGAUAACUUCGGGAAACCGGAGCUAAUACCGGAUAAUAUUUUGAACCGCAUGGUUCAAAAGUGAAAGACGGUCUUGCUGUCACUUAUAGAUGGAUCCGCGCUGCAUUAGCUAGUUGGUAAGGUAACGGCUUACCAAGGCAACGAUGCAUAGCCGACCUGAGAGGGUGAUCGGCCACACUCGAACUGAGACACGGUCCAGACUCCUACGGGAGGCAGCAGUAGGGAAUCUUCCGCAAUGGGCGAAAGCCUGACGGAGCAACGCCGCGUGAGUGAUGAAGGUCUUCGGCUCGUAAAACUCUGUUAUUAGGGAAGAACAUAUGUGUAAGUAACUGUGCACAUCUUGACGGUACCUAAUCAGAAAGCCACGGCUAACUACGU